GAAAUUGCACCAGCUCCCAACAACCGAUAGCACCCAUAAUCCUGCAAUCACACCAAGGAACUUCUUAAGAUCUCGUCCCGACGCAACGCUCCUCAGAAAAGCAAAGCCACGGUUGAUCUCGUAUCUCAGUCCAAGGGCGACCCGAACAGCGAGAUCUUCAGGGAUGCUCACCUCAGGAAUCCGCGGAGGAGCCUUGUUGAUGAAGGUGGUGGCAUUGGAGUACACAAACAGGACAGCUAAAGUGAGGAUGAGCAAGUGGCACAAAAGAGUCAGCAGGUGGUAGUCCAACUGCUCAAACAGAACCCAGAUCGCGGUCACACCGCCAAGCACAGCAGCUGAAAUCUUCUUGUCCCUCCAUAGAAACACAUCAGCAGGCUUGCCGCCGCCGAGGACUUGGUGGAUGGGCUUCUCCCGGCCGAAGAUACGAAACACCUUCGACUUGAAGGUCGACGGGGACGACUCCGGCUUCUUCUCGUCGUCCGAUGACGAAGACGACGAGUCGUCUCGGUGAAACUUCUCGGUGAUCUUCUCCAUCAGAGUCUCCUUCUCCUCUCCGUGCUCCGCCGCCAUCGCUGC
rnacentral:misc_RNA from 1 species